UCGUAUCAGAGCAGCACAUGCUCCUCUAAGUGAAAACCCCUCUUUCCACUGAAACCCUCCUCUUUUUCCGCUGAAAUCUUGAUUUCUCGAUUUCAACCCUUAUCUUCUUGAUUUUCUUGCUCAAGAUCCUGGCUAUGGCAUCUCUUUCUCUUGUUACCAGCUCUGAUUCUACAUCUUCUUCUCCGCUGAUCUCUGAAACGUCUCUCCUCAACUUCCUCUCAAGUUGAACGCCACCAAUUAUCUGCUAUGGCGAGCAUAGUUUCUUCCGCUUCUUUGCGGCUACAACCUCCUUGGAUACGUUGACGGUUCCUUCCCUAGGCCUUCUAGUCCUGAUGCAUCCUCCUCUUUUGGGACUGAUUUGGGAGUCUUAUGGGAUAGUCAAGACCAACUGAUCCUCAGUUGGAUAAUUUCUUCCUUAUCAGAGUCGAUCCUCUCUCAUGUGAUCAGCUCUGCGACCUCACAUGAUGCCUAGGAAACACUCACUCGACUUUUUGCUCUGUCCUCUCGAACUCAUAUAAUGGAUUUGAAGGACCAGUUACUUCGUGUUCACCGUGGUUCUGAUCCUAUUAACACAUAUCUUCUCUCUGUUCGUACCAUUGCUGAUACCUUGGCAGCCAUUGACCAUCCUGUAGAUGAUGAAGAUUUUGUUCUUGCUGUUCUUCGUGUUUUAGGAUUGGAAUACAAGGAUUUUGCUACUUCCAUCAGGCUUCGUACCUCUCCAAUUAGUUUUACAGAUCUCUCUGGUUUAUUGAUCAGCCAUGAAAUGUUCCUCAAGAACACAGAAGAUGUUGCUAAAGGAAUAUCCACCGCCAAUCUAGCCUCGGUUGCCUCUGCAGAUUCUUCGCAACACUUGGCUGAUGUAUCCCGAGGUUCUUCUUAAGGAUCUCGUCGUCAUGGCAAUCGGUUCUCUCGGUUUCAUGGUAGACGUCCAUACUACUCUACCAAUCACUCCAACUAUGGUUACAAUGAUCAAAACAACUAUAACAAUCGUUUUCAAGACCAAAACGGAUCUGCUACGCGGUAUCAGAAUCAGAAUCAGAAUCAACAUUCUCAUGUCAAUCGAGGUCAUCAGGGAUCUCCUUCUCCAUUCCUUCAUUCUAGAAUGCCUUGUCAAAUCUACAAUCAGGAUGGACAUUAGGCUGCACAUUGUCCUCAACGCUUCAAUCAGGCUUUUCUUGACCUCAGUAAUCUCACCCUCACUACUCCCUACGGUGGUUCUGAUCAAAUAGUUGUGGGCAAUGGUCAAGGUUUGUUUAUUUCCAAUGUUGGAUCAUCUUUAAUUAAUACUACCGCUCAUGAAUUUUCUCUCCCUACAGUCUUACAUGUUCCUCAGACUCAGCGUAAUUUACUUUCUGUUCAUCAGUUUACUAGAGACAACAAUGUUUCAAUUGAAUUUUUUUCUUCUCAUUUCUUGGUGAAGGAUCUUCAGAUGAAUCGUGUCCUCUACCACGGCCAGAGUGACAAUGGUCUUUACCAGUUACCUGCAGCUGAUUCCAAGUUUUCUUCCACUCUUUCUGCCAUUCGUGCUCCACUUGCUGAUUGGCACUCACGUCUGGGGCACCCUUCAUACCAGACGGUUCAAAGUGUUAUCUCUCAAUUCCAUCUUCCAAUCUCCAACAUGUCAUCUUCAACCUACCGUGCGUGUCAAUGCUCCAAGAGUCACAAAUUGCCUUUCUCUUUGUCAUCUACAGUAAGUCAUGCUCCAUUGGAGCUUGUCCACUGUGACGUUUGGGGACCAACCCCAUUUGUUUCUUUUGAUGGUAACAGAUAUUAUGCCAUUUUUGUUGAUGACUUUAGUUGAUACUGUUGGUUGUACCCUAUGAACCUUAAAUCUGAUGUGUAUUCAAUCUUUGUUCGUUUCAAAUUGCUAGUUGAAUUUUUUUCUUGCUCCAUUAAGUGUUUGCACACUGAUGGUGGUGGUGAAUUUGAAAAGCUAUCUCCAUUUCUUCAGUCUCAUGGUAUAUCUCGUCUGAUUUCAUGUCCCCACACUCAAGAACAAAAUGGUAUUGCGGAAUGUAAACACCACCACAUUGUUGAAUCUGGCCUUGCGUUACUAUUUCAUGCUCAUCUUCCUCCUCAAUAUUGGUCAUAUGCAUUUCUCACCUCCGUGUAUCUCAUAAAUCGCCUUCUGCCUCCUAUUUUGGGAAACCGAUGUCCUCUUCAAUGUCUUUUUUCUUCAGACCCAAAUUUUUCCUUGUUACGCACUUUUGGCUGUGCUUAUUAUCCGUGGUUGAGACCCUAUUCCAAGAAUAAACUGGAACCAUGCUCCACACCUUGUAUUUUCAUUGGAUAUUCUCUCUCUCAUAAGGGUUAUCAUUGCCUUGAUGUAGCUAAGAACUGGAUCUAUGUAUCUAGGCAUGUUGUGUUUGAUGAGCGCAUGUUUCCUUUUUCUAAACUUCCAACAACCAGGGACACUUCCUCUCCCUCUGUUACUGAUCCAUGGUAUACUCCGUCACCUCCGGUUCUUCUCCCCUACUCUAAUUCUCCUUGCCCCAGCUAAUGUCAUAGGCUAUUUGCCCACUUCUAUUUCUCAUUGUUCUAUUCAACCAUCUAUUCUAGGCCCAGGCCCAGGCCCAGGACCAAUUUCUGAUACUCCUUUGGGCCAAGUCAUCUCCUCAUCUAAUGGGCCUGACCCACCUAACAACUCCUUAUUUCCUAAUGGGUCUUCAUUACUCCAGCCAACACCAACCACUUCUUUGCAUCCUUCUCUAAUGGGCCACUCUCCUCCUUUGGAUCGAGAUUCUUCUCCUACUACAUCCCCCUAUAGCUCCCCUGCUUCUGAACCAUCAGUACCACCAUCAUCUAUUGCACCUCUAUCCACUCACCCUAUGCAAAUAAGAUCAUGUACUGGUUCACUUAAAGUACCGGCUCCUCGGUUGACCUUGUCUACAAGCAAUGAAGUCGAUUCAUUGGCGUUUUGCAAUGCAAGAUGAAUUUGAUGCGUUUCUCAAAAAUGGCACUUGGAAUUUGCUCCCAGCUACUGCUGCUUAAAACGUUAUUGGCUAUAAGUGGGUAUUUUGGGUAAAACGCAAGUCUGAUGGGAGUGUUGAGCACUGCAAAGCGCGAUUAGUUGCCAAAGGCUUCCAUCAGCGCCUUGGAUUGGAUUAUAAGGAAACCUUCAGUCCGGUUAUUAAACCUGCUACGAUUCGUCUUAUAUUGUCCUUGGCACAACAAAUGGUUAGCCAUUAAA